rnacentral:rRNA from 1 species
AAUGAACGUUGGCGGCGUGGAUUAGGCAUGCAAGUCGAGCGGUAGGAGUUCACUCACCCCGAUCAUUUGGUUCCCGGCAGUGACCGGGGCUGAGUGGGCGAGGUGAGUGGACUCUGAGAGCGGCGAAAGGGAGAGUAAUACGUAGUUACGUACCCCGAGGACCGGAAUAGCCACGGGAAACUGUGGGUAAUGCCGGAUGAUGUCUUCGGACUAAAGGUGUGAUUCCGCCAUGGGAGCGGACUGCGUUGUACUAGCUAGUUGGUAGGGUAAUGGCCUACCAAGGCGAUGAUGCAUAGCGGGUGUGAGAGCAUGACCCGCCUCACUGGGACUGAGACACUGCCCAGACACCUACGGGUGGCUGCAGUCGAGAAUCUUCGGCAAUGGACGAAAGUCUGACCGAGCGACGCCGUGUGUGGGAUGAAGGCCUUCGGGUUGUAAACCACUGUCGUAGAGGAGGAAAUUGACCGGGGUUCUCCCCGGUUAUUGACCUAUUCUAGGAGGAAGGACGGGCUAAGUUCGUGCCAGCAGCCGCAGUAAAAC